AUUUGAGCACGCCGAGUCCAGCAUCUCCAACUCGUGGUCGUGGAGCACACUGUAGAACGGCUAGAAUGUCAUCAAACAUCUGCCCCUGCCGGAUUCGUCUCCUCAUUUUCGUCCUCAGUUUAUUGGCACUCCUAUGUAGAAGCAGCUUUGUUGCAGCUCGCCCACCUUGCACCCCUGGCCGUGAUCCGAAUAACCCCUGUCCACCACGGUGCAGUCCGCAGUCACCUUCUUGUCAUUAGCACCCGGGAGCUCAUCCUGAUUCUACACAAUGCAUAAAAUUUGAGAAGACUAUCCGGUUGUUUUAUUUGAUCUGUUAACGCUGGUACAUUUGAACGAGAUUGCAUUUUCCAAGUCAGUAAACUCAAAUAAAUCUAUAUGUUUCUUGUAAUAGGAAUUAGGGUCCUGUUUGAUAGAGCUCCAUCUGAUUUCAAUUCUCUAUGGGAGCUGAUUCUCUGAGAGAGAUGAUUUUGUGGCUGAAAGUGAUUCUUUUUUAUUUUCUAGCAUAUAUAAUCUCUUAAAAUUAGGAUGGAGAAUCAAGAGAAGCUACUUUUUUC